UCAGGCCUACGGGGCGCAGCAGUGGGGAAUCUUCCGCAAUGGGCGAAAGCCUGACGGAGCAAUGCCGCGUGAGUGAAGAAGGCCUUCGGGUUGUAAAACUCUGUCCUUAUCGAAGAGAGGUGGGUAUGUGAAUAAUGUACUCAUAGGACGGUAGAUAAGGAGGAAGCCCCGGCUAACUACGUGCCAGCAGCCGCGGUAAUACGUAGGGGGCGAGCGUUGUCCGGAAUCACUGGGCGUUAAGGGCGCGUAGGCGGGUUAAUAAGUCAGUGGUGAAAACUGCGGGCUCAACCCUCAGUCUGCCACUG
rnacentral:rRNA from 1 species